GCGAAUGUGGCGGAAUUGGUAGACGCGCUGGAUUCAGGUUCCAGUGGGUAACACCGUGGGGGUUCGAGUCCCCCCAUUCGCA
rnacentral:tRNA from 1 species